CAUUACUGAGUGUUAGUCCUGCUAACUAAACCAUUUUAUGUCAAAGCCAUAAGGUGGGUAUCCGUUAGACAUAAAACCGGGUGUUAGUCCUGCUAACUAAGGCAUUUUAUGCUACAACCACAAGGCGGGUAUCCACAGACCCAUAAACCGAGUGUUAGUCCCGUUAACUAAGGCAUUUUAUGUCGCGGCCAUAAGGCGGGUACCCACCAGGCUCAUAAAUCGGGUAUUAGUC
rnacentral:lncRNA from 1 species